GAGUUUGAUCUUGGCUCAGAUUGAACGCUGGCGGCAUGCCUUACACAUGCAAGUCGAACGGUAACAGGUCUUCGGAUGCUGACGAGUGGCGAACGGGUGAGUAAUACAUCGGAACGUGCCCGAUCGUGGGGGGAUAACGAAGCGAAAGCUUUGCUAAUACCGCAUAAGAUCUACGGAUGAAAGCAGGGGACCGCAAGGCCUUGCGCGAACGGAGCGGCCGAUGGCAGAUUAGGUAGUUGGUGGGAUAAAAGCUUACCAAGCCGACGAUCUGUAGCUGGUCUGAGAGGACGACCAGCCACACUGGGACUGAGACACGGCCCAGACUCCUACGGGAGGCAGCAGUGGGGAAUUUUGGACAAUGGGCGAAAGCCUGAUCCAGCCAUGCCGCGUGCAGGAUGAAGGCCU
rnacentral:rRNA from 1 species